AACGAACGCUGGCGGCAGGCCUAACACAUGCAAGUCGAGCGCGCCCUUCGGGGUGAGCGGCGGACGGGUGAGUAACGCGUGGGAACGUGCCCUUUUCUACGGAAUAGCCUCGGGAAACUGAGAGUAAUACCGUAUACGCCCUUUGGGGGAAAGAUUUAUCGGAAAAGGAUCGGCCCGCGUUGGAUUAGGUAGUUGGUGGGGUAAUGGCCUACCAAGCCGACGAUCCAUAGCUGGUUUGAGAGGAUGAUCAGCCACACUGGGACUGAGACACGGCCCAGACUCCUACGGGAGGCAGCAGUGGGGAAUCUUAGACAAUGGGGGCAACCCUGAUCUAGCCAUGCCGCGUGAGUGAUGAAGGCCUUCGGGUUGUAAACCUCUUUCAGCAGGGAAGAAGCGAAAGUGACGGUACCUGCAGAAGAAGCACCGGCUAACUACGUG
rnacentral:rRNA from 1 species